rnacentral:rRNA from 1 species
AACGAACGCUGGCGGCAUGCCUAACACAUGCAAGUCGAACGAGACCUUCGGGUCCAGUGGCGCACGGGUGCGUAACGCGUGGGAAACUGCCCUUAGGUUCGGAAUAACUCCCCGAAAGGGGUGCUAAUACCGGAUAAUGUCUCCGGACCAAAGAUUUAUCGCCUUUGGAUGGGCCCGCGUUGGAUUAGCUGGUUGGUAGGGUAAAAGCCUACCAAGGCGAGGAUCCAUAGCUGGGCUGAGAGGAUGAUCAGCCACACUGGCGCUGGGACACGGCCCAGACUCCUACGGGAGGCAGCAGUGGGGGAUAUUGGACAAUGGGCGAAAGCCUGAUCCAGCAAUGCCGCGUGAGUGAUGAAGGCCUUAGGGAUGUAAAGCGCUUUUACCCGGGAUGAUAAUGACAGUACCGGGAGAAUAAGCUCCGGCUAACUCCGCG